UACGGGGGGGGCAAGCGUUGUUCGGAAUUACUGGGCGUAAAGGGUGCGUAGGCGGCUUUCUAAGUUGGAUGUGAAAACUCUGGGCUCAACCCAGAGCCUGCAUCCAAAACUGGAGAGCUGGGGUUCUGGAGGGGAAAGCGGAAUUCCUGGUGUAGCGGUGAAAUGCGUAGAUAUCAGGAGGAACACCGGUGGCGAAGGCGGCUUUCUGGACAGAUACCGACGCUGAGGCACGAAAGCUAGGGGAGCAAACAGG
rnacentral:rRNA from 1 species